rnacentral:rRNA from 1 species
UACGUAGGGGGCAAGCGUUGUCCGGAAUCAUUGGGCGUAAAGCGCGUGUAGGCGGUUCGAUAAGUCUGCUGUGAAAGCCCGGGGCUCAACCCCGGGAGGCGGAUGGAUACUGCAAGGCUCGAGUACGGAAGAGGCGAGUGGAAUUCCCGGUGUAGCGGUGAAAUGCGUAGAUAUCUGGAGGAAUACCGGUGGCGAAGGCGGCAUCCUGGACCGGCAUUGACGCUGAGGAGCGAAAGCCAGGGGAGCAAACGGG